rnacentral:rRNA from 1 species
UACGUAGGUGGCAAGCGUUGUCCGGAUUUACUGGGCGUAAAGAGCGCGCAGGCGGUCGUUCAAGUCGCGUGUGAAAGCCCCCGGCUCAACUGGGGAGGGUCACGCGAUACUGAUCGACUCGAAGGCAGGAGAGGGAAGUGGAAUUCCCGGUGUAGUGGUGGAAUGCGUAGAUAUCGGGAGGAACACCAGUGGCGAAGGCGGUUGCCUGGAGCUUUGCUGACGCUGAUGCGCGAAAGCGUGGGGAGCGAACAGG